GGCAGGAUGGCCGAGUGGUUAUGGCGGAGGGUUCAAGUUAUCAACUUGUCUCGUGUACAAAACACAGAGAUUUCCUCUGGAGCAAUCCGCAGGGGUUCGAAUCCCCUUCCUGUCA